rnacentral:rRNA from 1 species
UACGGAGGGGCAAGCGUUGUUCGGAAUUACUGGGCGUAAAGGGCGCGCAGGCGGCUGCUCAAGUCAGGCGUGAAAGGCCUGGGCUCAACCCGGGAAUUGCGCUUGAGACUGGGCUGGCUUGAGUGCGGGAGAGGAUGGUGGAAUUCCCAGUGUAGAGGUGAAAUUCGUAGAUAUUGGGAAGAACACCGGUGGCGAAGGCGGCCAUCUGGACCGCAACUGACGCUGAGGCGCGAAAGCGUGGGGAGCAACA